rnacentral:rRNA from 1 species
UACGUAGGGUGCGAGCGUUAAUCGGAAUUACUGGGCGUAAAGCGUGCGCAGGCGGUUCGUGAAGUCCGAUGUGAAAGCCCCGGGCCCAACCUGGGAAUGGCAUUGGAAACUGGCGGGCUGGAGUCUAGCAGAGGGGGGUGGAAUUCCUGGUGUAGCAGUGAAAUGCGUAGAGAUCAGGAGGAACACCGAUGGCGAAGGCAGCCCCCUGGGCCAAGACUGACGCUCAGGCACGAAAGCGUGGGGAGCAAACAGG